GACGAACGCUGGCGGCGUGCCUAAUACAUGCAAGUCGAACGCUUAAGGAGGAGCUUGCUUCUCUGGAUGAGUUGCGAACGGGUGAGUAACGCGUAGGUAACCUGCCUGGUAACGGGGGAUAACUAUUGGAAACGAUAGCUAAUACCGCAUAAUAUUGACUAUUGCAUGAUAGUCAGUUGAAAGGUGCAACUGCACCACUACCAGAUGGACCUGCGUUGUAUUAGCUAGUUGGUGGGGUAACGGCUCACCAAGGCGACGAUACAUAGCCGACCUGAGAGGGUGAUCGGCCACACUGGGACUGAGACACGGCCCAGACUCCUACGGGAGGCAGCAGUAGGGAAUCUUCGGCAAUGGACGGAAGUCUGACCGAGCAACGCCGCGUGAGUGAAGAAGGUUUUCGGAUCGUAAAGCUCUGUUGUAAGAGAAGAACGAGUGUGAGAGUGGAAAGCUCACACUGUGACGGUAUCUUACCAGAAAGGGACGGCUAACUACGUG
rnacentral:rRNA from 1 species